rnacentral:rRNA from 1 species
UACAGAGGUGGCAAGCGUUGUUCGGAAUCACUGGGCGUAAAGGGUGCGUAGGCGGGUCUUUAAGUCAGGGGUGAAAUCCUGGAGCUCAACUCCAGAACUGCCUUUGAUACUGAAGAUCUUGAGUUCGGGAGAGGUGAGUGGAACUGCGAGUGUAGAGGUGAAAUUCGUAGAUAUUCGCAAGAACACCAGUGGCGAAGGCGGCUCACUGGCCCGAUACUGACGCUGAGGCACGAAAGCGUGGGGAGGAAACAGG